UUCCCCACGGCAGUGGAUUUCCCCUCCCUCUUCAUCUUCUCCAAUCUCCAUCAAAUCCCACUACGCAAUUACUCUGUCGAUUCAGUUGCUUACGAUCUGGUAUUUCUCUUUGGACCGCAUGCGAAUGCGCCCAUCUUCGCCAUAGAAGAACCGUCAGAUAGCUCUGUCCGUUGAGAAGUGGAGCAGCUCCGUUCCCAUCGGCCGGCAUCUCAGGUAUUUGGUGCCAAUGCCCCUGACCGAGUUCUUCCCCUCCUCAUUUUAUCCAUUCCUUUCAUCCCCAGCACAGCAAGCUGUCCGCGUCCUGCUCGAGAUUUGUUAAUUUACGGCCCUGAAAAAUCAACAUGAAUUUAAGCCUCGCCGUCGAUGUGUGCAUCCUGCUGGUAUUACAUGUACUGGAUAGGGCGAAUUUCAAGGCCUCUCCGUCGCCACUGCACCGUCAUGGCCGCAUGCUCGGUGAAUCUGAAACCGUUGCUGUCAAUGUGUGCAUCUUCUGUUGGUACAUGUAUAGGACAGGGUGAAUUUUGAGCCCUCACAGUUGCCACCGCACCAUCAUGGCCGGUUGUUCGAUGAAUCUGAACCCUGGUACACGUUCGGGCCUUCAUUCGCUAGCAGCUCCUCUCACUCCUCGAGCAUAGUGAUGUGUUUAUUAAUCCCCAAUCCAUGGACUCUUGCAUCUUGCUUUCUACAUAUUGAAUUUGUUUAUGCACCAGAUUAGAUUCAAGGCGUUUGGAUUGAAUUGUUGGAAGCGGUCAAUAUGUUUCUGUUCACAAUUAAUUGGCACAACAUUGAACUACACACUUGAUUUUAUUUGUUGGGAAAAGCUAUAAGCUACAGGUUGCACUACUGUUGAUCUUCUUUGAAAGUGGUCGAUGGAUGAUCCCUUAGCCAGUCCUGUCCUCCUCUUGAUCUGCCGCCUCCAAUUUCUCUGUUAGGUUUGAUGUACAUUCAGAUAGCUAUAUUUAUGAUCUGACAUCUCCAAUUUCUCAGGUUUGGUGAAUAUUCAGAUAGCCAUAUCUAUGCAGAAUUUUACUCUUUGCUAUGUUGUAUGCAGGCAGGCAAAUGCUACGGAAGCAGCCAAAUUAAAACAUGCAUGUUCUCCACAUUUUCGUAUAAUGGUGUUUAUGUUGGGAUUUCCUUUAUUUAUUGUAUGAAUGCUUAUGGUGAUAUUGGGUUGUUUGUAGAGGCAUCACUUGCAGAUAGUUGAAUGGAAGUAUCAAAUGUUUACUACAUAUUUUAAUGGAUCAUGUCCUAUGGGGCUAUCUAGAGCUAGAUUAUGACAAUACUGCUCCAUGUCGACUUAUUUAGGAUCAAUAUAUCACUACAUACUAAUAGUGACAUUAUGCCCCACCGAGAUUAGACAGGAACUGAUUAUUACGGUGUUUUCCUGUAUUAUUCUCUUUUGGUUUGCUAAAAUGUUAAGCUACUAUAUUUGACUGAUUCUGAUACAUUGUGCAUCCAUCCAUUGUUCCAUGUCCCAGGUUAACAAGAAACAUUGUAUUCCCAUUGGUAUUUAACUAGGAUGUGUGCUCCUGUGGCAUGAUCUGUAAGUAGCCUCUAUCUCUUUCGAUCUAUUUUUGUUCGAGAUGUUGAUGUAUACACACAAUAGGGAGUGCUGAAGUCACUGAAACCCCUGCUACAAAAAGAAGUUGCUGAAAUUUUGCAAUGAUUUGUAUUUUUUUUCAUGUUUCCGGUGGACAGAUUAUAAACAUUGUGUGCUAGCUGGUAAACAAAGUAACCUAACCAAUUUUGAAGCGAAGUGUUACUUGUGUGGAGGAAUAUGCGAAUUUAUGUUUCUGAGGCAAGCCAUAUACAUAUUUUACUGGCAAUCAUCAUGGCUCGCUUCCUUUCUUUGCCGGAAUUCCAAAAUAAUUCCUCAAUACUUCAGUCUAUGUAAAUGUUCCAUGUAGAUUUAAGGUAAAGAUAAUAUACCAUUGCUGCAUAAAAUAGAUUAUUCUAUAAUUCCAUCAUUGCAUGGUCGAGGAUAGAUCACUGAAAAUAUGAAAAAUAUGUAUGGCCUCUUAAGACAAAGACUUAAGUUUCCUGAACAUCCAUGUGCUGCUUUUGCUCAUUUCAUUUGUAGUCAUACUGAAGAGUUCCUGGUGUCAUAGGCUUAUACAAAUUUUAGGUUGUACAAUUCAAAUUAUAAAUUAUAAAAGAGGUAUGGAGUUUGAUUCUUCUGCAAAUUAUUAGUCUCUCUAUCAGUAUUUUGAUUUGCUUCGUUUUUAUGUGGUCCUUGAACUGUCAGCCCGAGGGUCUGAGCCGUAAUAUUCCUCUGCUAUUCUGCAUCUCCAUCUGAUGAACACCCACAACAUGUUGUGUCUAGCAGCAGUAACAGCCGACUGAAGCGUCAGCUUGGCCAAGAGAAGGAGAUGUUAUGAAGCUAAUGCACAUAUCAGUGGAUGUUCAUUUUCCUUCAUUGUUGCAAUCCAUAAUAUUAGUCAGAAGAGGAGCUCUCAAAUGAAACAUAUGAACCAAAGUAAAUGCACAUGUGAGUUAUGAUUGAAAUUUUGCACAAUCAAGACAUGGGUAAUAGCUAGGUGGUGAUGUUUCAGUUGAAGCUUUGAAAGUUGGUCCGCAAAUUAUAUUUUGUACGUCUAUUCUCCAAAUUUUGAAAGAUACUUUAUUUUGCGGGAUAAAUUUUGAAAGAUACAAGUAGCAAGAUCGAUCUUUCAUGUGUACCAUUACAGUAAUACAGUUCUAAUGUAUGUCUGUCAAAAGAGAAUCUUAAUUAUUUUGCUGUUCCUUUUAGAAGAGUUAGUU